UAUUUAAUUCCACCAACAGCAGACCUUUUCACGCGCCAGCUGUGCAACUGUAAUUAAGCUGCACAUUUUAAUUCUUCCUGGCACUAUACCGCGGGAAAUUCGCCGCAGCUUGUCCCAUUUAAAAUUCGCAGGAAUUACUUUAAUCAAAGACUAACAUGACUGACAUGAAACUCAAUAACGGAGGUACCAUACUUGAAUGUCUCUGGAGGCCUCUAAUAAGAGUCUGGAGACUCCUGUGCUGCUGUGACACUGAUGACUCUGAAAUAAAACUGUCAGAGGAAGAAACAGAACCAAUUCCCAUCAUCACCGAUGUCCCUAGAUCUGCCCGUCCAUGGUUUUAAAACUGAGGAGCAGAUGAUGGAGUUUAGUAAGGAGCUCCUGUUUUCACUUUCUGGAGCAGCUCUCCUGGAAAAGACCUUCCCAAAAGAUCCAGACCUCCGGUUCAUUAAUUUCACUGGAAAUGGAAAACCGAGUCCAGUAUUGCAAUAUGGAAUACAAUAUUUUCUUUCAUAUACAAGUUUAAAAAAAAGCACAACACUGUUAUUCUGAUAAUACUCAGCUGUAACUUCAUGAGCAUUCAAACGUGAUGAAAUUAAUGUCUAAACUGUUUUACAAUUGCAUGAGAAAACAGAUUUUAAGCCCUAUACUGGAUUUGUUAAAGGUCCCACCAAUGUGCAUUUUAAAAAUCUGACCAUUACCUUUGGUUCAGAAAAACAGAUUAAUGCUGUUGUGAAAAGUGACUUCUUCCAGCUUUGGGCUGUUGCACACUGAAAUCUCAGGUACUGAUCUGGAGAAUUGCACACAUGCUUUUAUGUGUUUUUGUUUUAUUUACUCUGACACUUUAUGCCUGGUACUAUUAAGAGGAACCAUAUUUCAUCUGCACUUGCCCCUCUUUACUGGUUACCAGUCCAGUUUAGAGUCUUGAGGUCAGUUUUAGAGUCAGUUAAGGUCUUGUGCUGCAUGGAUGACAUUUUUUUGUAGGCCAACCUGUAAGUUGGCAUCACCCUGGUUCCCUCAACAAAAACUCAAAAGGAUUUUUCCAUUGGCUUUUGAAUUAUUGCAGAAAAACAGCUUUGUGACCAACAAAAGUGUACGAUUCUGAAGCCUAAAUACAAUCGACAGAAAGGUAAAAAGGUAAAUGUGGGCUAUAUAAAUGAACUACAGCACGGUCACAUGACUUCAACGUCACCACCAUUAGGCUUCUGACAACUCUUUCAGUCUUUAUUUCAAAAACAUUUCCCCUGAAAGUUUGAGUUAGAAUAGCUUGUAAGAUCAUGAUAAUAAACACAAUGAGGCUGUAAAAGUGGAUGAGUGAGUAAAUGAGUUUACAUGUUCGGCUGAUGACGUUUUACAUUUAAUGUUAAAAACUUGCCUUAAGACAUAUAUUUGUAUUGGUUUUCUUUUGUUUUAUGUCUAAGUUUAUGUCUAUCUAUGUUAUUGUGCACAAAUUUUGUAAGCACUUUUUUUUCCAUUUUUUUGUAUGUUAAAAUUUUAUGAAAUGAGAUUUGCAAAAAUGCACACUUCCAAAACUGAAUGCAUAAUGUAUAUUAGAGCCAGUGACAGAUAGACAAUCAAGGAGAAUUUUGGUGUGAUUUGCUGCUCAAGUGUGGUUAACGCAGUACCCACACUGUGUUUUAGUUAGGUCAGCAACUUAUUUCUGCCUCUGUUGAAUUGCAGUUGAAAAUGCAGAGAACUUUUUCUAAACUGAAUAAAAGUGAAAGUGAUUUUUGUAA